AAGUUUAUCAGCUGCUGAGAUACCAUAGUAAAUAAGGUAGUUUUCCCAGAGCAAGCUUCAUUCAUCAUACUUGUGAUAUAGUGACCUCUGCAGUUUCUGCAAAGUUGGAAAACUGGAUUGUAUGAUUUAUGGCAGUGGAUAAUUAUGUUCAUAUGAACUUUCC